rnacentral:rRNA from 1 species
GUAAGGAAUAUUGGUCAAUGGACGGAAGUCUGAACCAGCCAUCCCGCGUGCAGGAUGAAGGUCCUAUGGAUUGUAAACUGCUUUUAGCAGAGACGAAGACCCAUCAUUUAUGGUGGAGUGACGGUAUCUGCGGAAUAAGCACCGGCUAACUCCGUGCCAGCAGCCGCGGUAAUACGGAGGGUGCAAGCGUUAUCCGGAAUCACUGGGUUUAAAGGGUGCGUAGGCGGGGUAUUAAGUCAGUGGUGAAAGCCUGUCGCUUAACGAUAGAACUGCCAUUGAUACUGAUACUCUUGAAUUGGGUUGAGGUUAGCGGAAUGUGACAUGUAGCGGUGAAAUGCAUAGAUAUGUCAUGGAACACCAAUUGCGAAGGCAGCUAACUGGGCCUUGAUUGACGCUGAGGCACGAAAGCGUGGGUAGCGAACAGGAUUAGAUACCCGAGUAGUCC